CUCUCAACAGCUAUGUGAGUAUGUGUGUGUAUGAGAGAGAAAUUAUUUUCUUCCUCUUUAUUAAAGCUGGUAGAGACUGUAUCCCCGCAUAUUUAUGCAAGUCACAGUUUGUACAGUUUGAGCAUAAGAAAACUCAAUGGCUGGUCUGUGAAGAUGAGGUAGAUGGGGAGACAAGGAAGUCAUCACCAGCAGGAGGACCAAUAUCCAAAAUGGUAUCUUCUGGACCCGGGGAUCAAAUCCGCAACUCUUGCAUCUCCUGCAUUGGCGGCGGAUUCUUUUACCACUGUGCCACCUGGAAAACUGUAUAGAAGGAUUAAAACCAUCUAGUUUGAUUCUUGACAUGGGAGCACAGAUUAUUGAUUUGAAGUUUUUACCUUUUCUAAUUAAAUAUUUAGUGCUAUAUAUUCCCCUCUUAUUAAUGCUUUCAUUGGAUCAUCAAAAAAGCAAGGAAGUUCUA